AAAAUGCAACAUUUUAUUUAUAAUAGCGAUUAUUUCUGCUUUGUGUAUUCAUAUCUUCAACUGGUUUUUUCUUUGCCUUUGCAUUGUUAUACUAGUAAUCAACCGUAAAAAAUUACAAUUAGCCCAGAUUUCGUUCUAUAUCAUAACAGUUAUUUUUGUAUUCUCGUAUACUUAGCACUGAUUGAAUCGCGUUAACUUUUAAGUAGAUUAUUUCGCUCCGAGACUGUAUAUUUCGACAAAAUUACUCGGGGACACACGUUUGGCGUAUGAUCUUAACAGAUCCGUUCAUGAAAACGAAGUUCGCAGCGCUGUUCUGAUUUCUUCCACUAUGGUACUAUUCGAAUGCGUGUGCCGUGGAAAUACAUCGAUGCCAACACCUGUCUUUCGCUCAUUUUACAGAUAUUCAUUGGUUUAGCGGAUCUGCCAGGUUCCCCGUCGUUAGUUUGCAGCCGUUGUCAGUUCAGUGAAGAUCCCAAUAAGUGCGUAAUGCGCGAGAAUGACGAAACAGAGACAUGCAAGCCCACCGUCAAAACCUGUAUGGUGGAGACGAAGAUGGUAAUGGAUAACAGCAAGCGCCCAGCCGUAUACACGCGUGCCAUGAACCGGCAGUGCUCAGCGGAGGAAGAUGCGGAUAAGGACCAUUUUAUCUGGAGCUGGUAUUAUCGCGGCAAUGAUCCGACCAUCUGCCUGAACAUCACCAAAGUCAAUCCGUCCGUCAGCGGAAUGGAUAUCGACCGGCGCUGCAUAUGCAGUGCGAGAGACGGAUGCAAUUAUCAGCACUGGGAGUACGUUAUCGGCCAUUAUGUUUUCAAGAAAGUCCCUGAGUACCCACCGAACGGUACAAACGGUACCACCACGCGCCCCUAUCAACCUGCCACUGCCGCACCCGAUCCAGACAGCCAGUCGUGGGCGGAUGGAGGCCUCUGGUACAAUCCGCCGAGCGCUAAUCUACCGGGUUCUGAAUAUGCCAUCCACGCUGUAGUUCAGGCAGUGCCAAGUGAGGAACCGGUGAAUUCCACAGCUCCUGGGAAUCCCCAAAGCACCACCACAGCUAAUCGUGGCCGGCGCAACGGUUGGUGGUCUGUGGUACUGGUUUAAAGUUCGCCAAAGGCGUCACGGACACACCAAAACGGGAAAGCGUCAGCGGGGCACACCAACGAGAGGAUCAUGACAAGUAAAAGGUCACACGAACUAUUCCUAGUGAUACUGAGCUAUGUUCUUCGCCUAAUCGGAAACGGAAAAUCAUCCCUUGUUUUAUUAGUAGCCUACCGCUUUGUUUUUUUUCCAAUUUGAAUUUUUUAGAAUUUUUAACUUGUGAGCAGUGACAUUCAGUUGAACAGCACCUACCACCGCAUGGAUGGUAUAAUUUUGAAGCGGGAAAAAAUAAAAUUUCAAAAUCAAUAUGAUAGCACUAAUUAAAACAAUUUAAAAUAGUCGAACGUACGCAAAGGCCGCAAAGAUUGCGCAUAUGAUGCAAAAAUCAUGAAUUAGGGAGAUCGCUUAAGGUUAGCCACGGUUGAAUAAGGCCCCCAUGCAGCGACGGAAGCCCCAAUGGGUCUUCGGGCUGAGGAGGUGAGUGUAGUGCCGUGGCGUUGUAGGCCAGGAGUUUCUCCAGCAUCAGUUUGACCACAUCCGGAUAAUCGGCCGCUACAUUGUCCCGCUCACACGGAUCCGCUUCGAGAUCGAAUAAACACGGAGCCUCUCCCAAAUGGCAUGGUCUCUCGGUGCUCUGAGGUGGAGCACAGUGCACAGCAGCCGGUAAGGAUGCAUUAACGUAAUCCGGAAUGAUACCGUCCACAGGUACGUACCUACCGUAAUCACGUGUAUUACGUUAACCGUUCCCGUAACAGAAACCAAAGCUGCUUAUAUUAGAGUUUAUUUUAGUGACUAUACUGACAACUGUCAUGGUACAUAUUGCAAGCGCCCUAUGUUUCCUUAUAUUGUAGAUUUAGAGGAUUCAAGGAGAACUACUUCUGACACAAAUUUCAAAUACGGAGUUUGUACUGAUACCAUCUCAGCGCGUACUGGUCCCAGAUCGCAUCCGCUUGCAUCAGCAGUUCGUUGCGCAUGGACGGUGCUGCCUCCACCAGUGAUUUCCACUGAUCCACCCCGUCCACAUUCCGUACAGGCAUCCCACCGGUGGCCGUCAUCAGGGUCGGCAGCCAAUCUGUCAAAUGCAUCAGUCCGUUCCACACCGUACCCGGAUGCUGCAAUAGCCGGCUCCAGACGAUGCCUACUGUGCGAACACCGCCUUCGAACCACGUGUUCUUCGUGCCGCGCAAUGGCCAGUUGCUGCCGUGGGUGGCUUGUGCGCCCUCUUGGAGGUAGUGCUCCUGACCGGUCCCGCCGUUGUCAGCCAAGAAUAUCACUAUGGUAUUGUUAUCUGCUUUUUCAUGGUGCAAGGCGUCCAUGAUUUUCCCAACGGAAUCAUCCAAUGCAGCCAGUGUUCCUACAAACCGCACGAAUAACAAUUAUUUCAAUGUUGGACUACGAAAAGGGGAAACUGGUUACCGGUUAAAAAUUUACGAAUAAAAUCCGCAGACUAUGUGCACCAGGAAUACAUUCAGUGCGCAUGAAUCGCCAUAACUAGUUCGUGCUGAGAAACGCUUGUCUGCGCCGUUGCAUGCGUAAAACGAAGCUAUGAUUGCAGUCCUAAGUUGAACGUAGCUGAGCUUCAACUAACCGGCGUACUUUUGUCGUCCUUCAUGAUGUAUAUGCGGAAAUCGGUUGAUGUACUCAUCGGUAGUCUGUACCGGGUCAUGCUCGUUGGCCCAAUGCGGGGCCAUGUGUGCCAAAUAGAGAAACAGCGGCUACAUCAAUGCAUGCCG